rnacentral:rRNA from 1 species
GUAAACUCCUUUCGACCGGGACGAUAAUGACGGUACCGGAAGAAGAAGCCCCGGCUAAUUUCGUGCCAGCAGCCGCGGUAAUACGAGGGGGGCGAGCGUUGUUCGGAAUUAUUGGGCGUAAAGGGUGCGUAGGCGGUUCGGUAAGUUUUGUGUGAAAUCUUCGGGCUCAACUCGAAGCCUGCACAAAAUACUGCCGGGCUUGAGUGUGGGAGAGGUGAGUGGAAUUUCCGGUGUAGCGGUGAAAUGCGUAGAUAUCUGCAGGAACACCCGUGGCGAAAGCGGCGCACUGGACCACAACUGACGCUGAGGAACGAAAGCUAGGGGAGCAAACAGGAUUAGAUACCCUGGUAGUCCUAGCCCUAAACGAUCAGGACUUGGGGUGGCUCACGUUCGUGAGUCGUCCCGGAGCUAACGCGUUAAGUCCUGCACCUGGGGAGUACGGUCGCAAGACUGAAACUCAAAGGAAUUGACGGGGGCCCGCACAAGCGGUGGAGCAUGUGGUUUAAUUCGACGCAACGCGAAGAACCUUACCUGGGCUCGAAAUGUACAGGAAUCCGGUGGAAACAUCGGCGUCUCGCAAGAGACCUGUAUAUAGGUGCUGCAUGGCUUCUCAGCUCGGUC